rnacentral:misc_RNA from 2 species
AACGCACCUUGCGCUCCUUGGUAUUCCGAGGAGCAUGCCUGUUUGAGUGUCAUGGAAUCAUCAACUCUCAUCUGUUAUGGAUGAGGGCUUGGACUUGGGGGUUUUGCUGGUGUCUGCCAGCUCCUCUUGAAUGCAUUAGCUUGAACCUCUGCUGUAUCGGCUUCAACGUGAUAAUUGUCUACGUUGUGGCUGAGAGGCGCUCCGUCGUAGGUUUGGCUUCUAACGGUCUCUUUGAUGAGACAUACACCUUUGACCUCUGGCCUCAAAUCAGGUAGGACUACCCGCUGAACUUAA